UACGGAGGGUGCAAACGUUGCUCGGAAUCAUUGGGCGUAAAGCGCACGUAGGCGGCCUGUUAAGUCGGGUGUGAAAGCCCUGGGCUCAACCCAGGAAGUGCACUCGAAACUGGCAGGCUUGAAUAUGGAAGAGGGUCGCGGAAUUCCCGGUGUAGAGGUGAAAUUCGUAGAUAUCGGGAGGAACACCAGUGGCGAAGGCGGCGACCUGGGCCUUACCUGACGCUGAGGAGCGAAAGCGUGGGGAGCGAACAGG
rnacentral:rRNA from 1 species